AUCAUUGAGAUUAUGUCGAUGAAAUGCGCCCAAAUUUUCUCGGUGUGUGAAGAUUAAUACCAAUAAAGCAGCUGAAAUGUUUCAAAAUACCUACCAGCAAAAUCUCUCUCGUCGCCUUUCAUCACGGUCAAGGUUACACAUACUGAAGCCUUGACCAUCGAAACUCAUCACAGGCUACGAACAAUGCAGCCCCAUUGUACCACUAUCGAAGCCGGCGUGCGGUCGCAUGAGCAAUGAUCCAAAAGUUUACCAAAAAGUGCAUGCUCCGAAGUGAACUAAGUGUUCAAUAGUGCGAUUAAACACUCCGUUAUCGGUGAGAACGUCAAAUACUUGCAGCAUCCAACAGUUUGGCCCUGAUCCACGUACUCAAGAGGGAUCUAAUUCUACUAGGGCGAACAAUAGAGGUAAUUCAAACAAUGUUUGCCAAGCUACCCAUCCCUAAUUGUGCUCUACUAGGUGUCAUUGCAUGAUCGACGAGUUAUCAGACGCCAGGUGGAUGGUUCAAAAUCCGGUUUACCGUAGAUUAUCCCAGAGCACGGACACUGCCAAUAAUAGCAGCAUCAAAUUCGACCUGGACCGUUUUGUGGCAGAAGUCCCACUCAAGACAGCAUAAAAAGGCCUUCAUCAGGUAAAACGACCCAUCAAUGCAAUUUCCUAUCGAUGGGCUAACGCCAAUCGCCUCAAGAGGGAUCUAAUUCUACUAGGGCGAACAAUAGAGGUAAUUCAAACAAUGUUUGCCAAGCUACCCAUCCCUAAUUGUGCUCUACUAGGUGUCAUUGCAUGAUCGACGAGUUAUCAGACGCCAGGUGGAUGGUUCAAAAUCCGGGUUACCGUAGAUUAUCCCAGAGCACGGACACUGCCAAUAAUAGGUAACCAAUCACUUGCGUCAGCAUAGAGCACUAGUUUAUACUUGCAUGUGGUCUUUCAGCAGCAUCAAAUUCGACCUGGACCGUUUUGUGGCAGAAGUCCCACUCAAGACAGCAUAAAAAGGCCUUCAUCAGAGGGCCUUUUAUUUGCAGGCUCAAAUAGGCACUGCACUCCACGCGACGUUCUCAUCGCUCAGCACCCCAGCUACCUGCACGCUCUCCGUCAGUCGGUCAAAUUCUGGGAGGAAGGUCCUACACGAGUGCCAGUCGAGAGAGAUCAUGACCAAAUUGCAUCAAAGGUGCAUCCACCUGCGACAACAUUGAGCAGGCAGCGCGACAACCCGCACGUACAACUUGUUGCAACCCUAGUGCGACUGGGACGUGCUACAUUCUCGAGCUCUCAACAACGGUGUGACAAGCCACGGUGGCCGUAUCACCAACAGUUGUAGCGCGACAGCCGCGGUGCAGCAAAGUGCAACGCAGCGAUCGGGUGAAGGCCUUCCUGGUCGUGUAGCACCCGGUGGUGUGCGACGAAGCCAACGUGGAGCAGAAUGCAUCGAUGGUAGCAGCACGGGGCCCCCAACGAUACUGUUAGUGAGUAGCAAUGAGAACCUAGCAUAAGCUUGAAACAUUGUACCGGUAGAUCGAAGGUUUGCGAAAAUAGAAGUAUGAGAUGUUAAAUGUUACGUUCCAUGGUAGCUCUAAUUUCUACCUUGCCGUUAUCUUUUGAUUGAGUCAUUUUUUUUGGUUCCAUCGGCGCUAGUGCACUAUGCAAACAGUGGCUAGCCGGCCUUAUCCGUCAAUCUGAACCAAGAGUUUUAUUAGAAGGUGCACCGACGCCGGGAGGACCACUUUCUGUUUGUAGUACUGUUGGUCAUAUAUUCCAUUGAGGCACUACCCGAGUUUUAAAGCGUUGUAUCCUUCUCGAAGCUUUUCCCCUCGGGAGUUGGCAAAUUAAACACAAUAAGGGAAAAUUGUUACAAGAUUUGCGAA